CGUAGGAUGCAAGCGUUGUUCGGAAUUACUGGGCGUAAAGAGUACGUAGGCGGUAUGGUAAGUCUGAUAUUAAAGACCGGAGCUCAACUCCGGGACUGUAUCGGAAACUGCCAAACUAGAGGACAAUAGAGGAAGUCGGAAUUCUCAGUGUAGCGGUGAAAUGCGUAGAUAUUGGGAAGAACACCAGUGGCGAAAGCGGACUUCUGGGUUGUUACUGACGCUGAGGUACGAAAGCGUGGGGAGCAAACGGGAUUAGAUACCCCGGUAGUCCACGCUGUAAACGAUGGAUACUAGGUGUAACCGGUCUCGACCCCGGUUGUGCCGCAGCUAACGCAUUAAGUUCUCCGCCUGGGGAGUACGGCCGCAAGGUUA
rnacentral:rRNA from 1 species